UACGUAGGUGGCAAGCGUUUGUCCGGAAUUAUUGGGCGUAAAGCGCGCGCAGGUGGUUUCUUAAGUCUGAUGUGAAAGCCCACGGCUCAACCGUGGAGGGUCAUUGGAAACUGGGGAACUUGAGUGCAGAAGAGGAAAGUGGAAUUCCAAGUGUAGCGGUGAAAUGCGUAGAGAUUUGGAGGAACACCAGUGGCGAAGGCGACUUUCUGGUCUGUAACUGACACUGAGGCGCGAAAGCGUGGGGAGCAAACAGG
rnacentral:rRNA from 1 species